ACAUGCCUACAACAUAGUGUUAAUGCACCAGAUCCCAUUAGAACUCCAAAGUUAAUUGUGCUUGGGCUAGAGUAGUACUAGGAUGGUUGACCUCUCGGGAAGUCCUAGUAUUUUACAUGCC
rnacentral:rRNA from 1 species